rnacentral:rRNA from 1 species
AACGAACGCUGGCGGCGUGCCUAACACAUGCAAGUCGCACGAGAAAGUUCUUCGGAACGAGUAAAGUGGCGCACGGGUGAGUAAUCCAUAGGAACGUGUCUUUAGGAGGGGAAUAACAACGGGAAACCGUUGCUAAUACCGCAUAAUCAGGUAACUGCAAAGACGGCCUCUAUUUAUAAGCUGUCACCUAAAGAGCGGCCUAUGUCCCAUUAGCUAGUUGGUGGGGUAAAAGCCUACCAAGGCAACGAUGGGUAGCUGGUCUGAGAGGACGAUCAGCCACACUGGAACUGAGACACGGUCCAGACUCCUACGGGAGGCAGCAGUGGGGAAUAUUGCACAAUGGGCGCAAGCCUGAUGCAGCAACGCCGCGUGAGU